rnacentral:rRNA from 1 species
GAUGAACGCUGGCGGCGUGCCUAACACAUGCAAGUCGAACGGCAACACGGUAAGAUCUUUCUCGUGCGGGUGGCGGUGGGCGGACGGGUGGUAAAUACAUCGUAAUCUACUUUUUCGUGGUGGAUAACGGAGAGAAAGUUACGCUAAUACCGCAUACGACGGACCGGUUGAAUCAUGGGAUCUUGAGAGCUUUCGCUUUUGAAUGAGACGGUGUCGUGGCGGCUUAGUUGGUUGGUGGGGUGACGGCCUACCAAGGCGACGAUGCGUAGCCGGUCUGAGAGGAUGAUCAGCCACACUGGAACUGAGACACGGUCCAGACUCCUACGGGAGGCAGCAGUGGGGAAUAUUGGACAAUGGGCGAAAGCCUGAUGCAGCAAUACCGCGUGGGUGAAGAAGGUCUUCGGGUUGUAAAGCUCUUUUGUUGGGAAAGAAAAGAAGCAGGUUAAUACACCGCUGUUCUGACGGUACCCAAAGAAUAAGCACCGGCUAACUUCGUG